rnacentral:misc_RNA from 1 species
AACGCACAUUGCGCCCCUUGGUAUUCCGGGGGGCAUGCCUGUUCGAGCGUCAUUAUAACCCUCAAGCCUAGCUUGGUGUUGGAGCAUGCUAUCUAUAGCAGCUCUUAAAAUCAGUGGCAGUGCUCUUCGGCUCUAAGCGUAGUAACUUUUCUCGCUAUAGAGUCUGGAGGGCCCGCGCCAAAACCCCCAACUUUCUAUGGUUGACCUCGGAUCAGGUAGGGAUACCCGCUGAACUUAA